UGGGGGAUAUUGCACAAUGGGCGAAAGCCUGAUGCAGCGACGCCGCGUGGGGGAUGAAGGCCUUCGGGUUGUAAACUUCUUUUGUUCUGAACAAGGCAUGCCCUUGGGGUGUGUUGAGUGUAGGGGUUGAUUAGCGCCGGCUAACUACGUGCCAGCAGCCGCGGUAAUACGUAGGGCGCGAGCGUUGUCCGGAAUUAUUGGGCGUAAAGGGCUUGUAGGUGGCUGGUUGCGUCUGUCGUGAAAGCACGUGGCUUAACUGUGGGUUUGCGGUGGAUACUGGCUGGCUAGAGUGCAGUAGGGGAAGCUGGAAUUCCUGGUGUAGCGGUGGAAUGCGCAGAUAUCAGGAGGAAUACCGGUGGCGAAGGCGGGUCUCUGGGCUGUUACUGACACUGAGGGACGAAAGCGUGGGGAGCGAACAGG
rnacentral:rRNA from 1 species